ACUGUGAAGAACAGUGUGGUAAUCAUAGAACUCUAGAAUGGUUUGGGUUGGAAGUGACUUUUAAAGGUCAACCAGUCCAACCUUCCUGCAGUGAGUAGGGACAUCUGCAGCUAGAUCACGUU